rnacentral:rRNA from 1 species
CCUACGGGAGGCAGCAGUGAGGAAUAUUGGUCAAUGGACGGGAGUCUGAACCAGCCAAGCCGCGUGCGGGAUGACGGCUCUGUGAGUUGUAAACUUCUUUUGUACGAGGACAAACCCCGAUACGUGUAUCGGGUUGAAAGUAUCGUACGAAUAAGCAUCGGCUAACUCCGUGCCAGCAGCCGCGGUAAUACGGAGGAUCCGAGCGUUAUCCGGAUUUAUUGGGUUUAAAGGGUGGGGAGGCGGUUUGAUAAGUUAGAGGUGAAAUGUCGGGGCUCAACCCCGAACCUGCCUUUAAAACUGUUGGUCUCGAGAUGAGUAGAGGUAGGCGGAAUGUAUGGUGUAGCGGUGAAAUGCUUAGAGAUCGUGCAGAACACCGAUUGCGAAGGCAGCAUACC